GUCGUAACCAGAAUGCCGUACCGAAUUAAAGGUCCGCUGGAUCCACCGAUUAGGGAGACCUACCCACUCAGAUUCUGAAAGCAAUGGCAAACGUUGCAAAUAAGGAUGAGAGUGGGUCAUCCCAAAGGUCGUUGGAGUAUGAGUGUUUCGCUUCCAAACUAUUAAAGGUUCGGUUAUGGGCUAUUAGCUCAGGUGGUUAGAGCGCACCCCUGAUAAGGGUGAGGUCCCUGGUUCGAGUCCAGGAUGGCCCUGGUAAGCUAGGGGGGUUUAGCUCAGUUGGUAGAGCGCCUGCUUUGCAAGCAGGAUGUCAGCGGUUCGAGUCCGCUAACCUCCACUGAGACCGUUACUGGUAAGUUAGUAAGGAGGAGUAAAGUGUAUGUCGGAAGAUUCAGCAAACAUGCGUGCACUACAUGCAGAGUAGUCAUGCUGGAUUCGUCCAGUCAGAACCAUGAAGACUGCAUAGCGAAAUAAGAUUUCUGUCAGGGUGAACGCGUUAAUAAGCUUACNUGUUAUGGCAAAACUGACACCAACGUAAGUUUGGGUCAAGCGACAAAGGGCUGAUG
rnacentral:tRNA from 1 species